GCGGGAUUAGUUUAAUGGUAAAAUGGGAGUUUUCCAAACUCCAGACACCGGUCCGAUUCCGGUAUCCCGCA
rnacentral:tRNA from 1 species